GCAUCACCGCGUGGGCCCUCCUUUGCACGCGGGCUUGCGUUUUCACAUAAAACUUGAUACAGUGUAGAAUGUUUUCUUUUCUUUUGCGGUCAAACGCAAUUAAUACAACUUUCAACAACGGAGCUCUUGGCUCUCGCAUCGAUGAAGAACGCAGCGAAAUGCGAUACGUAAUGUGAAUUGCAGAAUUCAGUGAAUCAUCUAAUCUUUGAACGCACCUUGCGCCCCUUGGCAUUCCGAGGGGCACACCCGUUUGAGUGUCAUGAAAUCAUCAAAACCUUUUCCUUUGAUCCUCUUUUGGUCGGGAAAAGGAUUUUUGGACUUGGAGGUUCUAUGCUCGCUUUUGAAAGCGAGCUCCUCUCAAAUGAAUUACUGGGGUCUGCUUUGCUGAUCCUUGACGUGAUAAGAUGUUUCUACGUUUUGGAUUUGGCACUGUCCCUUGGACGCCUGCUCUAACCGUCAGUUGGACGACGAUGGUGCUUCGGUCACUGCCAUCUACAUUGGCGGGAGGCUGGACCCACAAAAAAGACCUUGACCUCAAAUCGGGUGAGACUACCCGCUGAACUUAAGCA
rnacentral:misc_RNA from 1 species